rnacentral:rRNA from 1 species
GAUGAACGCUAGCUACAGGCUUAACACAUGCAAGUCGAGGGACCGGCGCACGAGUGAGUAGCACGUAUCCCACCUGCCCUUUACUCGGGGAUAGCCUUUCGGAAGAAAGAUAAAUAACCGAUAUAAAUGAUGGGGAUGCUUUCGUUUAGGUUGUUGGUGAGGUCACGGCCCACCAAGCCUGCGAUGGAUAGGGGUCCUGAUAGGAAGGUACACCACAAUGGAACUGAGACACGGUCCCCAAUCGUACGGGAGGCAGGAGUGAGGAAUAUUGUUCAAGGGGCGGUAGCCGGAACCCGCCAAGUAGCGUGAAGGAUGAAGGGUUAUGGGUCGUAAACUUUUUGUAUAUAAGAAUAUGUAUUAUAUGAAUAAGGAUCGGCUAACUACGUGCCAGCAGCCGCGGUAAUAC